AUUGAACGCUGGCGGCAUGCUUUACACAUGCAAGUCGAAAGGUAACAGGCCGCAAGGUGCUGACGAGUGGCGAACGGGUGAGUAAUGCAUCGGAACGUGCCCAGUCGUGGGGGAUAACGCAGCGAAAGCUGCGCUAAUACCGCAUACGAUCUCUGGAUGAACGCGGGGGACCGAAAGGCCUCGCGCGAUUGGAGCGGCAGAUGUCAGAUUAGGUAGUUGGUGGGGGAAAGGCCCACAAAGCCAACGAUCUGUAGCUGGUCUGAGAGGACGACCAGCCACACUGGGCCUGGGACACGGCCCAGACUCCUACGGGAGGCAGCAGUGGGGAAUUUUGGACAAUGGGCGAAAGCCUGAUCCAGCAAUGCCGCGUGCAGGAAGAAGGCCUUCGGGUUGUAAACUGCUUUUGUACGGAACGAAACGGUCCGGGUUAAUACCCUGGGCUAAUGACGGUACCGUAAGAAUAAGCACCGGCUAACUACGUGCCAGCCGCCGCGGUAACAC
rnacentral:rRNA from 1 species